rnacentral:rRNA from 1 species
GACGAACGCUGGCGGCGUGCUUAACACAUGCAAGUCGAACGGAAAGGCCCUGCUUUUGUGGGGUGCUCGAGUGGCGAACGGGUGAGUAACACGUGAGUAACCUGCCCUUGACUUUGGGAUAACUUCAGGAAACUGGGGCUAAUACCGGAUAGGAGCUCCUGCUGCAUGGUGGGGGUUGGAAAGUUUCGGCGGUUGGGGAUGGACUCGCGGCUUAUCAGCUUGUUGGUGGGGUAGUGGCUUACCAAGGCUUUGACGGGUAGCCGGCCUGAGAGGGUGACCGGCCACAUUGGGACUGAGAUACGGCCCAGACUCCUACGGGAGGCAGCAGUGGGGAAUAUUGCACAGUGGGCGGGAGCGUGAUGCAGCAACGCCGCGUGCGGGAUGACGGCCUUCGGGUUGUAAACCGCUUUCGCCUGUGACGAAGCGUGAGUGACGGUAAUGGGUAAAGAAGCACCGGCUAACUACGUG